rnacentral:rRNA from 1 species
UACGUAGGGGGCUAGCGUUGUCCGGAAUCAUUGGGCGUAAAGAGCGCGUAGGCGGCCAGAUAAGUCCGGUGUGAAAGUCAAAGGCUCAACCUUUGAAUGCCGCUGGAAACUGUCUGGCUAGAGUCCGGGAGGGGCGAGUGGAAUUCCUGGUGUAGCGGUGAAAUGCGUAGAUAUCAGGAGGAACACCGGUGGUGUAGACGGCUCUCUGGACAGUAACUGACGCUGAGACACGAAAGCGUGGGUAGCAAACAGG